CCUACGGGAGACUGCAGUGGGGAAUAUUGCACAAUGGGGGAAACCCUGAUGCAGCGACGCCGCGUGAGGGAAGAAGUAUCUCGGUACGUAAAGCUCUAUCAGCAGGGAAGAAAAUGACGGUACCUGACUAAGAAGCCCCGGAUAACUACGUGCCAGCAGCCGCGGUAAUACGUAGGGGGCAAGCGUUAUCCGGAUUUACUGGGUGUAAAGGGAGCGUAGACGGCAGCACAAGCCUGGAGUGAAAUCCCGGGGCUUAACCCCGGAACUGCUUUGGAAACUGUGCGGCGGGAGUGGAGGAGGGGUAAGCGGAAUUCCUAGUGUAGCGGUGAAAUGCGUAGAUAUUAGGAGGAACACCGGUGGCGAAGGCGGCUUACUGGACUGUAACUGACGUUGAGGCUCGAAAGCGUGGGGAGCAAACAGGAUUAGAUACCCGAGUAGUC
rnacentral:rRNA from 1 species